rnacentral:hammerhead_ribozyme from 1 species
AUCCAUCUGAUGAGUCCCAAAUAGGACGAAAUGGGUGUGCUGAAU